GUGAGGAAUUUUCCGCAAUGGGCGAAAGCCUGACGGAGCAAUGCCGCGUGAAGGAUGAAGGCCUAUGGGUUGUAAACUUCUUAUCUCAGAAAAGAAUUAUGACGGUAUCUGAGGAAUAAGCAUCGGCUAACUCUGUGCCAGCAGCCGCGGUAAGACAGAGGAUGCAAGCGUUAUCCGGAAUGAUUGGGCGUAAAGCGUCUGUAGGUUGUUUAAAAAGUAUUCUGUCAAAGAUUAGGGCUUAACCCUAGAUAGGCAGAAUAAACUUUUAAGCUAGAGUUUGGUAGAGGCAGAGGGAAUUCCCGGUGGAGCGGUGAAAUGCGUAGAUAUCGGGAGGAACACCAAAGGCGAAGGCACUCUGCUGGGCCAAUACUAACACUGAGAGACGAAAGCGAGGGGAGCAAAUGGGAUUAGAAACCCUUGUAGUCC
rnacentral:rRNA from 1 species